rnacentral:rRNA from 1 species
AUGAAGAAGGCUGACAAGUUCGAGUGGACUCCAGAAGCUGAUGCAGCGUUUGCCGAGCUAAAAGCUCUGCUCUCCACCCAGCCGGUGCUUGCUGCUCCAAUCAGCAAAGAGCCUCUGUUGCUCUACAUCGCAGCCACAGGACAAGUCGUCAGUACUGUGCUAACGGUCGAGCGGGAAGAAGAAGGAAAAGCUCUCAAAGUUCAGCGCCCAGUGUAUUAUUUGUCUGAAGUCUUGACUCCAUCCAAGCAAAGAUAUCCCCAUUAUCAGAAGCUUGUGUACGGAAUAUACAUGACCACAAAGAAGGUUGCUCAUUAUUUCUCUGACCAUUCAAUCACAGUCGUCAGCGACGCUCCACUAUCAGAGAUUUUGCACAACAGAGAUGCAACUGGUCGAGUGGCCAAAUGGGCGAUUGAACUUCUUCCCCUUGAUAUCAAGUUUGAGGCAAAGAAAGCCAUUAAGUCCCAGGCAAUAGCAGAUUUCCUCGCCGAGUGGAUCGAACAACAGCAGUCGACUGAAGUUCACUCGGAGCAUUGGACCAUGUUUUUCGAUGGUUCUAAGAUGUUGAAUGGUUCCGGUGCUGGGGUUGUCCUGGUUUCCCCCAGAGGAGAUAAGCUCAGAUAUGUGCUCCAGAUUCACUUUGAUUCCUCCAACAAUGAGGCAGAAUAUGAGGCCCUCCUGUAUGGGUUGCGCAUGGCCAUUUCACUCGGCGUCCGUCGCCUAAUGGUCUAUGGCGACUCGGAUUUAGUGGUCAAUCAGGUGAUGAAAGAGUGGGACGUGAGAAGCCCAGCCAUGACUGGAUACUGCAAUGCAGUGAGGAAGCUGGAGAAAAAGUUCGAGGGGUUGGAGCUCCAUCAUAUACCCCGACUGAAGAAUCAAGCAGCUGAUGAUCUAGCAAAGAUAGGUUCCAAGAGAGAAGCCAUUCCGAGUGGCGUGUUCUUGGAGCAUAUACAUACUCCGUCAGUCAAAGAAGACCCUUUCACAGAAGGAACUCCACAGCCUAAGAGCGCCGCAGAUCCGACUGAAGUGGAAGUCCCAGCAGUGGUCGACUUGGUCAUGGAGGAAGAAAGGGAGAUGGCUCUGAUCCGCUCGACCAUCUACCAACAAGAUCUGCGCCGUUUCCACGCCCGAAAUGUGAGAGGUCGAGCCUUCCAGGAAGGGGAUCUGGUUCUCCGAGUGGAUCAGCACAAACCACACAAGCUUGCUCCUUCUUGGGAAGGCCCCUUCAUCGUCACUAAGGUUCUCCACAACGGGGCGUACCGUCUUUACAACGUCGAGCAUAAUAUCGACGAACCCCGAGCUUGGAACGCGGAGCUACUCCGCCCAUUUUACACUUAA